AAGUGGGGCCGCGUUGCCAUUAGUCCCGCCGGUCUUUACCCACAAACCUUCUGCAAAAACAUCUUCCCAAAAUUUAAAUUGUGCGGCUACCGCAGCUGCUUUCUCUGAACUACAGGCGCAAGCCAUAUUUCUGCUCCUUGGGAUCGUGGCUUUUAAUGAAAAAAAGCCAGAGAAACUGCACAGCCUGGGAUGGUGGACAGGUGAAUACCUAAAUUCAAGGACAAUGAUACAAGGGUUAUGGUAACAAAGGCUGCUCAAGCUGCCCCCCUGUUGCCCCUCUUUUCCCAGCCACUCCAGUUCUGGUCUGUUCCCCCUGGAGUUCACACCUGGGACUCUCAGCCCACCUGGCAGGGGCAUGGACAUGCAGGUACCCUUCUGACAAGGAUGCAGUGACUCCCCAGCUUGUGCUGAUCACAGAAAAUGUGGGCUUAAAGGUGACUAAUAAUAUAAAUAUACACAUGGAGACACAGCACUGCUAAAUUUAGGGGAUGAGCAUUUUGUCAUCAACCGAAGCAAAGGCCUUUCAAAAAUAAAUAUUUGCUUACGUCUCCACUGCUCCGAAAUGAGAACAUUAAUGGCUAUGACAAUGAUGGUGAUCUUCCCCUUACAAAACCUCUCAGAAGAAUAAAAAAACCUAAGCUUUCUCAUUUCCUUAUUAAAAAUGUUUUUUAAUGAUAAUUGAAAAUUUCUGAAGGUCAUUUAAAAAUAAUGAAUAAAAGUAAAAAUUUUAAUCAGAAAAGUAAUCAAUUUUAAAUCCUAACUGCUAUGCUUUUUGCAAGAAAACUACAUCAGUAUGCAGGUAAACUGGCACAGGAAGACAAGGGUGAAUGUCCUUAGUGAUAUUUUUUAUUUUUGUGGCAAUUUCCACCUAAUAGCAACUGUAUCAACACAGCCAGGGUUGCUGUGUUGAGAUCUUUUGUUGGGCUCAGUCACAUCUGGCUGAUCAGAAUUUAACCCAUAAGGAUCCAAGCCAUAAAAUCAUUCUGGCCAAUGCCUAUGUAUUGUCCCAGAUUGAAACUGAUGGCUCUACACCUCAGAAUAAGAUGUAUCAACAGAUGUGCACCAUGUUUGCAGGAGCACAGACCAUUCCAAUAAAUUGUAAAAAAUACACAUGAUUUCAGUGUUGCUUUCAGUCUAAACCAGCAGCUGGAAGACAAGUUUUUUAUUUAGUUCCUCAUUCAUUUAGGUCCCAGACAUGUCCUUUUCGUCAUGUUUAUUUACAGCUGUAUGGGCAUCAUGUGACCCAAAAAAAAAAAAAAUAGUCACUACUCUUCUGCAAAAUCUGCAAUACCAUGCCAGGCUGGCACCCACGUGCCACCCUGAAAUCACAUCAGGUGUUUUAGGGCAGAACGGGAUUAAACUGGCACAGAGAUUAAACAGGUGAGCCAGACUCCCAGGUUGCAUUUUGGUGGUCAAAAUGGUCCACGGGCUUCCAAAGCUAUGUUUAUGCUCCCAUAUCUCACUAUCAAUCAAUUGUUCUAUAAGAAAUACUUUAAUUUUUUUUGUCUGUGAGCCUUUGGUGUGAAGCCUUCCAAGAAUAAGCCUGUUAUUGCCGGGUUUGAGCAUCAGGCCCAAAACAAAAUUCCACAAAAGCCCAAACUUAGAUCAGGGUCUUGUUUUGCAUAAAGAAGAGAUUUCCUUCUCAGGCCUAGCACAGGUCUGCCACGUGCCUGUUUCCACACCGAGCGGGGCAGUCCUGCCCUUUGCACACUCACAGGUUGAUCAGUGGGGGCCAUUUGGGCUGCCUCCCACACAAGCAGCUGAAUUUGCCUCGUGUUUCCUACAGGCUCAUGCACCAGUGCAAAAUGGGCAAAGAUGGUGGCAGCUCAUGCACAGUUUAUGUGGCCACGUGUAACUGCAGCAAAGAACAAACAGAUCCAGAAUUACUGUGUCAUGCUCAGUGCUGACAGAAUUAACUUGGAGAUACUGAAGGAAUUAUUUAACUUCUAGGAGAUGAACAGCUAUGAGAUGGACUGACUGGACAUCUCCAGGGAUUAUCCACCAAGGACCACUACAACCAUCUGCUGGAGUUCUUGUUGGUUCUGAAAACCAUAAUUUGAUGCAGACAUUUAGCUCCUGGUGAGCACUGUAUAAGAAACACACCAAAAGUAAUACAUAUGAGUUAAUUUUAAGUCCCCUUACUGUAAAGAAAGACGUGUGAAAGUUUAAGCAUGUCAGAAAUGAGACUAGUGUUGGCAGGACCAGGAUCUUUCCUGAUCUUCCCCAUUUUCCAAAUAUCUGCCCUUGUGGAAGAGCACAGCAGCUGAACUGUGAGUAGGUGGGGGCUUCCUCUCUCCUUCUGCAGGCAGAUUUUACUUGUCAAGAAAACUGAUGUUGUUGUACUAGUGCUAAAAUUCAUGUAUUUUCUAACUCAAGAGCACUGCAAGUCUCCUCUGCCGGACAGACAUAUUCAUCCGAGGAUGAUGUUCAACAGAGAAUGAAAGAGUGUUCUGGAGAAAGAGCUGGCUGUCUGCAGGAGGAUGACCUCCACUGUGCAGUCCUGACACAGGUGGGAGCCAACUCCAUUUUGCCAGGUUAAUUCCAAAAGCUCUGUUUAUUUUCCCUCCAUUUCUGGAGCUUUGGAUCUAACACAUUCCCUUUCUGUGGAGAAAAGUUGUGCUAAAGUACUGUCCAACCUAUUUUCCAGAUUUUCUCUGCUGUAGUUCAGCGUGGCUUUGUUUUGUUUUGUGUUUUUUUUCCAUAAUGGAUUGUGUCUGACAGUUGGGGAAUACAGUGUCUCUCACUUUCAGGGAGGAAUGCCUCGCUGCCCUUUCUCCAGCUGGCAGCCAGCACCGAGGGGAAGGUGCUUUUCCCACUCUCCUGUCCACAGAGAGGGAUCUGCUGCCUCUUGUCUAGCACAGGGCCAGGGACCUGCACGCUCGGAGGUAUGAGCCAGAUAAAUUAUGAAAUCUCACUAUCUUUAUCCUCAAGACAAACAUGAAGCACAUUCUCUGAGGAUAAUUGACUUUAAAGGUUUGCUAGAAAAAGACAC